rnacentral:rRNA from 1 species
UACGGAGGGUGCAAGCGUUGCUCGGAAUUAUUGGGCGUAAAGGGUAGGUAGGUGGUCUCAUUUGUCUGGGGUGAAAGCCUUGAGCUUAACUCAAGAAGUGCCCCAGAAACGGUGAGACUAGAGUCCUAGAGAGGGUCGUGGAAUUCCCGGUGUAGCGGUGAAAUGCGUAGAGAUCGGGAGGAACACCAGAGGCGAAGGCGGCGACCUGGAUAGGUACUGACACUCAACUACGAAAGCGUGGGGAGCAAACAG